rnacentral:lncRNA from 13 species
CCCAAUCAUAUCUAUAAUCCACAGUAACUAAGCAACAUACUGAACCUUGUCAUUGUGUUUAACUGCGGUCCACUCUGGAGUACAGAGAUGGCGGCCUACCUAACAGCUAUUCUGUUGACUAUCUAUUACCGGAGUCAUUACAGAGAAACAGAGUUGUACCUCCUAGAAAUAGACAAUACUGGUUGUGUUUUCAGAGGAGCUGUGACAGCGACAACGAGGAAGAGACCAGGAAGACAAGACUACAGACCAGGAAGAGGAGUAACACNNNNNNNNNNAGGGGUGUCCAGUCCUCUUCUGGCUGUGCCGGGUGGAGAUUAGAAACCUAGAGAGGAACCAGGCUCUGAGGGGUGGCCAGUCCUCUUCUGGCUGUGCCGGGUGGAGAUUAGAAACCUAGAGAGGAACCAGGCUAUGUUGGGUGGCCAGUCCUCUUCUGUCUGUGCAGGGUGGAGAUUAGAAACCUAGAGAGGAACCAGGCUAUGAGGGGUGUCCAGUUGUCUUCUGGCUGUGCCGGGUGGAGAUUAUAACAGAACAUGGCCAUUGUAUUGCACAGUCAUGAAUUAAUAUUGCACAAUCUAUGUCUAAUUAACCCAUGUAAUGCUGCUGAUGCCACUGAUCACUCAGCCAGUACAUGGGACGUGUGUGUAAACUUGUUAGUGAUGGGUCAAGAAGUGAUGUGUUGUUGUGCUGUUGCCCUCGGUUACGUAAAACAAAUAUUGUUGCGUUGUCAUCUCAGCAAGAUACACACGAAAGUAAUUCACACGGAUCUACCCAAUCAUAUCUAUAAUCCACAGUAACUAAGCAACAUACUGAACCUUGUCAUUGUGUUUAACUGCGGUCCACUCUGGAGUACAGAGAUGGCGGCCUACCUAACAGCUAUUCUGUUGACUAUCUAUUACCGGAGUCAUUACAGAGAAACAGAGUUGUACCUCCUAGAAAUAGACAAUACUGGUUGUGUUUUCAGAGGAGCUGUGACAGCGACAACGAGGAAGAGACCAGGAAGACAAGACUACAGACCAGGAAGAGGAGUAACACUUCCUGAAGACAACAACCAAUCAAAAUGCCACCAUUCCUCCAUUCCACUUCCUGAAGUCAACAACCAACCAAAACACCACCAUUCCUCCAUUCCACUUCCUGAAGUCAACAACCAACCACCAUUUAAAUCCAGUUGUCUAUGAAGUUAUAGUCUUUUCUCAGUGAAAGGUCAUAGACCUUUUUUAAUGAUACUUCUGUACGUUAGCUAGCUUUUUAUAAAUCUGUUUACGGUGUAGUGGUUGUAUAUGGCGGGAAAUACAAGACAGCAGAAUUAACCCGUUUGUGUUCUUACUGUAUUUUACAUCAGUGUUGCAUGUAUAAAAUAUGUUUUCCUAUUAGAUUAUGUGUCCUGUUUAUUCUCUAUGUUGGUUGGGGCGUGACAGUGACCAGGGUGGGUUAUCUAGGUGAUUAAUGAUUUAUGUUGGCCUGGUAUGGUUCCCGUAUUCAGAGGCAGCUGUUUAUUCUCUAUGUUGGUUGGGGCGUGACAGUGUCUAGGGUGGGUUAUCUAGGUGAUUAAUGAUUUAUGUUGGCCUGGUAUGGUUCCCGCAUUCAGAGGCAGCUGUUUAUUCUCUAUGUUGGUUGGGGCGUGACAGUGACCAGGGUGGGUUAUCUAGGUGAUUAAUGAUUUAUGUUGGCCUGGUAUGGUUCCCGUAUUCAGAGGCAGCUGUUUAUUCUCUAUGUUGGUUGGGGCGUGACAGUAACUAGGGUGGGUUAUCUAGGUGAUUCAUGAUUUAUGUUGGCCUGGUAUGGUUCCCGCAUUCAGAGUCAGCUGUUUAUUCGUUGUCUCUGAUUGGGGAUCAUAUUUAGGCAGCCAUUUCCCCUUUGUGCUUUGUGGGAUGUUGUCUAGGUAUAGUUGCCUGUGAGCACUACUCUGAGCUUCACGUUUCGGGUUUUUUUUCUUUCUUCGCUUUAUUGUUUUUGUUUUGUUUUUAAGUUUCUUUUCCAAAAUAAAAGGAUGGAAACACCACGCUGCAUCUUGGUCCGCUCGUUAUAACGAUCGUGACAUUAUGUUUAACCUGUGUAUGCAUUCUCUAUCCUGGCUAUUACCAUUUCCUUACAUAAAUCUACCACCACUUUUCAACGUGUGAUUUAUGGGGAAUUCAUCAAUAUUUCCUGUAUUUUACUGUAUUUUUCUGAUUUGUAAACUAUAUUAUGAAACCCUACGACCCAAACCAAUCCCUAAUUGCUGUAACAAUAACAAUAAAUAUGACUAUAAAUCUCCUCUGACUCCGUGAGGCGAAACUAAGCAGCAACAUGUUUUCACGCCUGGUUACUUUCUUAUAUCAGCCAGCGUGUUUCCUGACUCUUUUUCCCAAGAUACUCCAAACAGCAAGAUGAGUUGAGUACAUUCAUUCACUUGAACAAUAAACCCAAAGGCAACUCUUUCUUUGGCUUCUGUCUGUAGUCUCUAGACCUCAGUUAAAUCAGCUGAGUAGUAGUCUGUAAAGCACUGCAGUUGGUUUCUCCUCAGGAUGCUGAAUGACUGACAGUUGGUUUCUCCUCAGGAUGCUGAAUAACUGACAGUUGGUUUCUCCACAGGAUGCUGAAUAACUGACAGUUGGUUUCUCCUCAGGAUGCUGAAUGACUGACAGUUGGUUUCUCCACAGGAUGCAGAAUAACUGACAGAUGGUUUCUCCACGGGAUGCUGAAUGACUGACAGUUGGUUCUCCCACAGGAUGCUGAAUAACUGACAGUUGGUUUCUCUACAGGAUGCUGAAUAACUGACAGUUGGUUUCUCUACAGAAUGCUGAAUAACU